CUUGGUCAUUUAGAGGAAGUAAAAGUCGUAACAAGGUCUCCGUAGGUGAACCUGCGGAGGGAUCACUACAGGCUUGCAAAAGCUCUGAAACCACUGUUUAUCUACCUGAAUCUGCUUCGGCGGGCGGCCCCAGGGCGGGGCCGUAGCCGCAAGGCGCCCGCCGAAGACCCCUAAACCCUGUCGUCUUGAGAAUCUCUGAGUGAUUAUAUUAAACAAAAACAACUUUCAACAACGGAUCUCUUGGCUCUGGCAUCGAUGAAGAACGCAGCGAAAUGCGAUAACUAGUGUGAAUUGCAGACCUCAUGAAUCAUCGAAUCUUUGAACGCACAUUGCGCCCGCCGGUACUCCGGCGGGCAUGCCUGUCCGAGCGUCAUUGACAACCCUCAGGCCCUGGUGCCUGGUGUUGGGGCACUACAGCACGCUGUAGGCCCUGAAAUCCAGUGGCGGGACCGCUGAAAACCCGGGCGUAGUAACUUUACGUCGUCUAGGGCGUUCCGGCGGACCCCAGCCGUUAAACCCACCAAAUUAUCAUAUUUGGCCUCGGAUCAGGUAGGAUUACCCGCUGAACUUAAGCAUAUCAAUAAGCGGAGGAAAAGAAACCAACAGGGAUUGCCCUAGUAACGGCGAGUGAAGCGGCAACAGCUCAAAUUUGAAAUCUGGUCCUCGUGGCCCGAGUUGUAAUUUGCAGAGGAUGCUUUCAGGUUUUGGUGCCUUCUGAGUUCCCUGGAACGGGACGCCAUAGAGGGUGAGAGCCCCGUAUAGUCGUGCACCAGGCCGUUGUAAAGCACCUUCGAAGAGUCGAGUAGUUUGGGAAUGCUGCUCUAAGCGGGAGGUAAACUUCUUCUAAAGCUAAAUACCGGCCAGAGACCGAUAGCGCACAAGUAGAGUGAUCGAAAGAUGAAAAGCACUUUGAAAAGAGGGUUAAACAGCACGUGAAAUUGUUGAAAGGGAAGCGUUUGUGACCAGAAUCGCGCUCGGCAGAUCAUCCGGCGUUCUCGCCGGUGCACUCUGCCGGGCCCAGGCCAGCGUCGGUUCUUUUCGGGGGGAUAAAAGCUCUGGGAAUGUGGCUCCUCCGGGAGUGUUAUAGCCCUAGGCAGAAUACCCCCGUGGGGACUGAGGUUCGCGCUCUGCAAAGACGCUGGCAUAAUGGUCACCAGCGACCCGUCUUGAAACACGGACC
rnacentral:rRNA from 1 species